rnacentral:rRNA from 1 species
UACGAAGGGUGCAAACGUUGUCCGGAAUUAUUGGGCGUAAAGGGCUCGUAGGCGGUGUGUCACGUCGGCCGUGAAAACCUGCAGCUUAACUGUGGGCGUGCGGUCGAUACGGGCAUCACUGGAGUUCGGCAGGGGAGACUGGAAUUCCUGGUGUAGCGGUGAAAUGCGCAGAUAUCAGGAGGAACACCGGUGGCGAAGGCGGGUCUCUGGGCCGAUACUGACGCUGAGGAGCGAAAGCGUGGGGAGCAAACAGG